rnacentral:misc_RNA from 1 species
GAUGAAGAACGUAGCGAAAUGCGAUAAGUAAUGGGAAUUGCAGAAUUCAGUGAAUCAUCGAAUCUUUGAACGCACAUUGCGCCCGCCAGUAUUCUGGCGGGCAUGCCUGUUCGAGCGUCAUUACAACCCUCAGGCCCCCGGGCCUGGCGUUGGGGAUCGGCGGAAGCCCCCUGUGGGCACACGCCGUCCCUCAAAUACAGUGGCGGUCCCGCCGCAGCUUCCAUUGCGUAGUAGCUAACACCUCGCAACUGGAGAGCGGCGCGGCCAUGCCGUAAAACACCCAACUUCUGAAUGUUGACCUCGAAUCAGGUAGGAAUACCCGCUGAACUUAAGCAUAUCAAUAAGCGGAGGA